AUAUUGGACAAUGGGCGAAAGCCUGAUCCAGCCAUGCCGCGUGUGUGAAGAAGGUCUUNGUAUUGNANAGUACUUUAAGUUGGGANGAAGGGCAGGAAGUUAAUACCUUGCAGUUUUGACGUUACCAACAGAAUAAGAACCGGCUACCUAUGUGCCAGCAGCCGCGGUAAUAACGAGGGUUCAAGCUUUAAUCGGAAUUACUGGGCGUAAAUCGAUAGUAGGUGGUUCAGUAAGAUGGGUGUGAAAUCCCCGGGCUUAACCUGGGAACUGCUUUCAUAACUGCUGAGCUAGAGUACGGUAGAGGGUAGUGGAAUUUCCUGUGUAGCGGUGAAAUGCGUAGAUAUAGGAAGGAACACCAGUGGCGAAGGCGACCACCUGGGCUAAUACUGACACUGAGGUGCGAAAGCGUGGGGAGCAAA
rnacentral:rRNA from 1 species